UGAUGUAUGCACUCUCCUACAAAAAGAAGAAAAGAGAAGAGCUGUUAUGAAGCCAAGUGAAUCAUCUACUUAUGAGUACUCGGCUUUUGUUUCUAACUCCACAAAUUUUUGAGGGCAUAAAAAUCACGGACGUGGCUGCAGUAAAGGCUGUGGAUUUGGAGAUCGACCUUGAUGCUCCCAUUGCAAUAAGUUGGGUCAUAUC
rnacentral:lncRNA from 1 species